rnacentral:tRNA from 1 species
ACGGUGGUGGUUCAGUGGUAGAAUUUUCACCUCGUAUGUGGGAGACCGGAGUUCAAUUCCCAGCCAAUGGU